rnacentral:rRNA from 1 species
GCCGGGCGGGGGUUUUACCAUAAAAGUGAAAAAAUUUUUGUUUUUAUUCUGAAACUUUUUUAAAAAAAAAAUUUUACUCUGUAGAAGGUAAAAUUUUCUAGGGUUAAAAUGUUUUUUAGAAAAGGUUUUGAAAACUCUGAAGUGAAAUCUGGAUUUGAUACCUCUUUUUUGUAGAGAAAAAAGAAAUUUGGUAGUAGCAGAAGGCUUGAAACUUUUAGAAUUUGGCGGUGUUUUAAUCUUAUCAGAGGAACUUGUAUUUUGAUUCGAAACUUCUCGUUUAAUUUCACUUUUGUUCUGUUUGUAUAUCGUCGUAAAAAUGAAACUUUUAAGUGUAUAUUUAGAAAAAUUGUUUUUAAGAUUACAGAUUCUGGUUCUGCGUAUAUUUUUGCAUAAUAUGAGUUUCAGUAUAAUUGAAUGUAUUUCGGAAAAGAGAUUGUUAUAUCUAUUGGAAGGUGGAUUUGAAAGUAUGUUAAA